GUGCCAGCCGCCGCGGUAAUACGGAGGAUCCAAGCGUUAUCCGGAAUCAUUGGGUUUAAAGGGUCCGUAGGCGGUCAGAUAAGUCAGUGGUGAAAGCCCAUCGCUCAACGGUGGAACGGCCAUUGAUACUGUCUGACUUGAAUUAUUAGGAAGUAACUAGAAUAUGUAGUGUAGCGGUGAAAUGCUUAGAGAUUACAUGGAAUACCAAUUGCGAAGGCAGGUUACUACUAAUAUAUUGACGCUGAUGGACGAAAGCGUGGGUAGCGAACAGGAUUAGAUACCCUGGUAGUCCACGCCGUAAACGAUGGAUACUAGCUGUUGGGAGCAAUCUCAGUGGCUAAGCGAAAGUGAUAAGUAUCCCACCUGGGGAGUACGAACGCAAGUUUGAAACUCAAAGGAAUUGACGGGGGCCCGCACAAGCGGUGGAGCAUGUGGUUUAAUUCGAUGAUACGCGAGGAACCUUACCAAGGCUUAAAUGUAGUUUGACCGGUUUGGAAACAGAUCUUUCGCAAGACAAAUUACAAGGUGCUGCAUGGUUGUCGUCAGCUCGUGCCGUGAGGUGUCAGGUUAAGUCCUAUAACGAGCGCAACCCCUGUUGUUAGUUGCCAGCGAGUCAUGUCGGGAACUCUAACGAGACUGCCAGUGCAAACUGUGAGGAAGGUGGGGAUGACGUC
rnacentral:rRNA from 1 species